rnacentral:rRNA from 1 species
UCAGGAUGAACGCUAGCGACAGGCUAACACAUGCAAGUCGAGGGGCAGCAUAGAAGUAGCAAUACUUGGUGGCGACCGGCGCACGGGUGAGUAACGCGUAUGCAACCUACCUAUCAGAGGGGAAUAACCCGGCGAAAGUCGGACUAAUACCGCAUAAAACAGGGGCACCGCAUGGUGAUAUUUGUUAAAGAAAUUCGCUGAUAGAUGGGCAUGCGUUCCAUUAGGUAGUUGGUGAGGUAACGGCUCACCAAGCCGACGAUGGAUAGGGAACUGAGAGGUUGGUCCCCCACACUGGUACUGAGACACGGACCAGACUCCUACGGGAGGCAGCAGUGAGGAAUAUUGGUCAAUGGGCGGGAGCCUGAACCAGCCAAGUCGCGUGAAGGAAGAAGGAUCUAUGGUUCGUAAACUUCUUUUGCAGGGGAAUAAAGUGCAGGACGUGUCCUGUUUUGUAUGUACCCUGAGAAUAAGGAUCGGCUAACUCCGUGCCAGCCGCUGC